AUAUAUAUAUAUAUAUAUGUAUAUAGUCCGGUUAUGGUGCUUGUAAAAGCAUCAAGCACUUGGUGCUUAUAAAUUUUUUACCGUUAGAUCUAUGCUUUUGAUCAUUUUUACCCGUUAGAUUAUACUAUUCAACCAACCACUCACUCAACCCUAGGGGGCCCACAUCAUCCUAACCGUAUAUUUCUUAAUCCAAGGGCCGAAAACUUAUAAACACCAAUGACUCAGUACUUUUAAAAGCAUAGAAGCUCAAUUCUCUCUCUCUCUCUCUCUCUCUCUCUCUCUCUCUAUAUAUAUAUAUAUAUAUAUAUAU
rnacentral:lncRNA from 1 species